GUGGGGUGGGGAUGGUGAUGAGCUAUUCUUAACAUGAAACAGCAAGACAGUGUCCAGUGGUAGGGGCCAGCGCUUCCAGGGGACAGGGAAGCCAAGAGUGCUCCAAGGCAGGCAGAGACAAGACAGCUGUAAGUGAAGUGCCAGGCUCACGGCGAGAUUCCUGGAUGAUUUUGUCAUUAGCUGUAAGGGACCUGUGACAAAAACUAUACACACACACAUUCAGAGAGAGAGAUGUUUGAAACAUCUGGCAGGCGAUAGGGUAGCGGCUCUGCCCAGUGAGCACCGUUAGGCAAGGAAGACAUGCCCGUGUGUCCUGGCUCCAAGCUCAGCCUGCGUGCUAAGGUCCUGACCUCAGGGGUUAGAUAUCAGAGCCAAGAAACCUGAGCAGUGCCCGGGAGCACCUUGUUUGCUACAGUUCCUUAGGAUGGGCUGGGCAAAUAAAGACAUCGAGAGUAUAAAGUCAGCAUGAAAAUACUGAAAAGUGGGGAGAAACUCCUUUCCAAGAAAUACAAAUUGGGAGUCUGUGAUAAGCUAAAGCAACAUAGACAGAAAGCAAAGACAUACAUCCUGCCUUUAGUUCAGCAACCGCCCAGAGUACUGAGCACGGGAGGAGGGCGGUGAAGGGGAGACUAAGGCUGAAAAAACAAGCAGGAUGUUCCAAAUUCCACCGCCUUUUAAACCCCAGCUUGCUCGAGAAAUACCUAUUUUUCUAAGUCACAACUUGAGCCCAUAGGGCUGCCAGAUUGAGCAAGGGAAGCGCGCAGUUAAACCUGCAUUUCAGAAAAACGAGCUACUUUAAGUGCAAGGAUGUCCCAAGUACCGCGUGGGACCUACUCGUACUGAGCUGCUUCGCGGUGCCCCGAGACCAGCCUCGGCCGGUGCCCGCGCACCCCGACCGACCGGAAGGCGGGGGCGCGGCUCGCACCUCAACUCUCCUUCCAGGGAACAGAGACCCCCGCUGGGGCGCCCCACAGGCCCCUCCAACGGAAAUGGUGAGUGGGCGUUCCCGGCUCCGAGUAGGUGGGCUUCGGGAACAACCCAGGGACCGUAGGAUAUUCCUUGCGCGGUGCCUGACCUCCACUCCGCCAGGCCCACCGCGCUGACCCGUCAACCCGCCGACCCUGGGGCCCUACCAUCGGGGACCCGUCAACUGCCAGAUAAGUGCACAUGCCUAGAAGGCGAUUGCUUAUUGGCUGUGUGCGUGCCAAUCAGCGGGGCGAGGGUGUCCGCAAAGGCCGGAAGGGGCGUGUCCCGUGCGGGCGGAAGGGGUGGCCUCGGACAGCGGCCGGCUGGCGGCGAGGGUGAGGCCGCUCGCGGGAGAGGCGGCGCGCAGUGGGCAGUCCUCGCGCUCUUCAUCUUCGCGAUGGUCUCCGUCUCCUGCGUUUGGUCGCGGCCGGGCGGAGCUGCGGCGCCCUCUGCCGCUCGCCCUGCGGCGGCCGCUCGCCCUGUCGGCACGCACUCGCCCGGAGCGCGGCGGGACGGGCCAACGCGCGCCCGCGUGCUGCCCGUAGGGCCCGUCGCCCGGCCGUGGCGGCCGGGAGCCCGCGCCUGCACAGCCGCCAGCGCCCAGGCAGUUCCCCGUCCCACCGCGAGCCUCAGUGCUGCGUCUUCAGGCUCGGCCGCACCCACGUGCGCAAGGACCGCGGCCCGGAACCCGGCCUCUCAGCCCCGCUCUCCUGGGCGCUGGCGUCCCUCCUGUAGAGAGCAUGACCGCCGAGACCGUCACCGCCACGGGAAAAGCGAUUCUCUUUCCCGGAGAUAUUAGCACGAAGGAGUUUAACCCAGAGUGCGUUUCCCUGGGGGACCCCGGGUGACACCGUGCGGAGCCGGUCCCUGCGCCACUGGCCUCGCCUGCACGGCUGGAAGUGGGUCCGGCCCACCUGCAGUCACGACCCCAGCGGGGUGGCCCCUGGGAGGGCCGUGCUGUCCCUACCAGCUGCGCAAGGCACCAACCACCCCGCUUCUCUGUUUUCAAGUGCAGCUGGCCGAGCUGAGCUUGGUGACCUGAAGAUACUGUGUAAGGAAACAGCGAUGAUGUUUAACGAAACACAGAAACACUGUGUCACUUGUAUCACUUUGUGGUGCCCAUGUUACAAAACACUGACAGGUCACUGUCCCAGACACCCGGCUUUGUUUUGUGUUGGAUUUAUGCGCCCUGGAGACUAUAUGGCCAACAUCCUAGCGUUUGUUGGGAGAAUGGGGAAGACUAACACAAGAGUCUGUGUAGCCCCAAAUGAUUCUCAUCCCAGAAUCAAAGUAUCCACGAUUUUAUGCUGGAAGGAGUUUCAGUAAAUGUACACUUUCGACAAUGUUUCCUUCAGUUUUGAAGACACAUUUCAAACCUUUGGGAAAGAAGUGUGUCUCACAGAUCAUUUGGCUCCCGCUCAGAUGUGUCCUGUCCCCGGCACCGCUCAUGAGGAGCCCGUCUGCUGUGCACGCCAGAUCAAAUUCGGGGGCUGCCUGCCAGGGCCCAGGGCUGAGGCAGUGCUGCCGUACUGGGUCCCUCUGUCCCUGAGACCCCGGAAGCAGAUACAAAAGAUGGUCUGGUCUUAUACCCUCCAAAGCACUGUGGCCUGCCCCUGCCCCUGCCACCGCUUUGGGGGCCGCCUCUCGAUGCCUAGGAAUCAGGCUGUGAUGCCGCACUGGGUGCCCCAGGUCCUGAGGUCUCACAAGAAGGUGAAAAGGCAGCAGAGUUUUAAAGACAGCCAGGAAGCGGCUCUGGGUGCGCGGCCCUGGCACCGGUGCUGGCGGGUCUGCUGCAGUAGCCAGCGCCUCCUCAGGUGGCAGCGGCUCACACUCCAGGUCCUGCACCAGGGCGAGCCGCCGGGCCCGCGCCUGUCGCUCAGCCUCCGUCUGCAGACCCUCCUCCAGACAGUCCUGAGGGCCCUGGCGGCCUUCUGGUGAGCAGCUUGCUGUCAGAUUUAGUUGGACUUCCCUGUACCUGCUCUCUGGAGAGCAGAGAAGGUCCUGACUGUAGGUGCUGCAUGUGAAUGGCUGGGGUGGGCCGAAAGGACAGGUGUUUGCUUCUGAGCCAGGCUCCCAGGGCAGAGCUAGUUAUUUUGGGUUUAAAGUUGACAUCUUCAGCUACGAUCAAGAAUAUCAGCAAAAAUGUCAGUCAUAAUAAACGUCUUUAAUGAACAUCACCAAGUCAGGAGUCUGUGACAGCCACUAUUUUCUCAGAUCAUAUGAUUCACACCCAAGGUUCAAGCCAAAUUAUUUAUCAUCAGGUGAUUUUAGUUGCUGUGAAUGCGGGCGGUAAAAAUGGGGUCAAUAAAUAUUAUUUGUGAAACUCUCCACAGCAACUUUCAAACGAUAACGUCUGGUUUUCCUUUGUGAGGGAGGGCCUCUGCGUUCCUGCCUCCUGUCGCUGUGGGAGGGGUCCGUCUCCGAGUUUCUCCUCACUGCUGGGGCAGCAUACCCACUGGGCAGAGGUCCCCACCCUAUCUCAGCACCUGUUUCGGGUGGGUCUCACUGUAGGUGGCAUAAAAUUGUGUGUGAAUUGAAUUCUUUUAAACUGAGGUAUCAAUCACAUACUGUAAACCUCAGCUUUUAAAAGUAUAUGAUCCUGUGAUUUUUGCAAGGUUGUGCGACU